rnacentral:rRNA from 1 species
UACGUAGGUGGCAAGCGUUGUCCGGAUUUACUGGGCGUAAAGAGCGCGCAGGCGGUCGUUCAAGUCGCGUGUGAAAGCCCCCGGCUCAACUGGGGAGGGUCACGCGAUACUGAUCGACUCGAAGGCAGGAGAGGGUAGUGGAAUUCCCGGUGUAGUGGUGAAAUGCGUAGAUACUGGGAGGAACACCGGUGGCGAAGGCGGCUACCUGGACCGGUUCUGACGCUGAUGCGCGAAAGCGUGGGUAGCAAACAGG